UACGGAGGGUGCGAGCGUUAAUCGGAAUAACUGGGCGUAAAGGGCACGUAGGCGGGCUUUUAAGUGAGAGGUGAAAUCCCCGGGCUUAACCUGGGAAUAGCAUUUCAGACUGGGAGUCUAGAGUAAGUUAGGGGGGGGUAGAAUUCCACGUGUAGCGGUGAAAUGCGUAGAGAUGUGGAGGAAUACCGAAGGCGAAGGCAGCCCCUUGGGCAUGUACUGACGCUCAUGUGCGAAAGCGUGGGGAGCAAACAGG
rnacentral:rRNA from 1 species